UUUCAAAUCUUCUUAGUAGAUAUAUUUCUAAACUCAAAAAAAUUAGUUGCACAAAUGAGGAACUAUGGAGCACAUAGGAAAUAGAGCAAGUAACAAGGUUAAAAAAUCUAGUGCCGAGCACAUUAAAUACUUAUUUGGUAUGCAUUACUCGAUAGGACUCGAGAGUUUUAACUUCUUUUUUUCUCAACACUAACUUGUACUAUUCAAUCCUCUAUACUAAAUCUGCCAUGACGAAAUUACACCGUAUUAUCACUCGAAACAAUUAGACUAAGAAAAGCAUCUUGAAUAAAACUAUGAAUCUCUGAUGAAUUUAGAGCAAUGUAACAGUAUAUGAGUUCCUCCAUUUGAUUCCAAUCUUGAAUUCCCACAUUUUGUAUCACUUGGAUUAUAGAUUCUCUUAUAUCAAAAAUUGGAUCUGAGGAAUAUUUCACUGCACAAAUACAAUCUGCAAAUGCCCCACAAACAUCUUCUGGUAACUUGGCUGAAAAGCUUAUUCUUGAACUUCUACUUCUCUGCAAAAUUUUCUUCUUCGUCUCGACUUUCGCCAUUUCUUGUGUGGAUUACGAACAGAGGGAAUUUCGGGUAGAGCAGUGAAAUACGCGAGAAUUCAC
rnacentral:lncRNA from 1 species